AGUUAGGUGGCUCAGUGGAUAGAGCUCCAGAUUUGGAGUCAGGAAAAUCUCAGUUCAAAUCUGACCUCAGAUA
rnacentral:tRNA from 1 species